GAUGAACGCUGGCGGUAUGCUUAACACAUGCAAGUCGAACGGUCUCUUCGGAGAUAGUGGCGGACGGGUGAGGAACGCGUGAGAACCUGCCUCUAAGUCGGGGACAACAGUUGGAAACGACUGAUAAUACCGGAUGAGCCGAAAGGUAAAAGAUCUAUCGCUUAGAGAGGGGCUCGCGUCUGAUCAGCUAGAUGGUGGUGUAAAGGACCACCAUGGCGACGAUCAGUAGCUGGUCUGAGAGGAUGAGCAGCCACACUGGGACUGAGACACGGCCCAGACUCCUACGGGAGGCAGCAGUGGGGAAUUUUCCGCAAUGGGCGAAAGCCUGACGGAGCAAUACCGCGUGAGGGAGGAAGGCUCUUGGGUUGUAAACCUCAAAACUUAGGGAAGAAGAAAGUGACGGUACCUAAUAUAAGCAUCGGCUAACUCCGUGCCAGCCGCCGCUGUAAGAC
rnacentral:rRNA from 1 species